rnacentral:rRNA from 1 species
UACGAAGGGGGCUAGCGUUGUUCGGAAUUACUGGGCGGAAAGCGCACGUAGGCGGAUCGAUCAGUCAGGGGUGAAAUCCCAGGGCUCAACCCUGGAACUGCCUUUGAUACUGUCGAUCUGGAGUAUGGAAGAGGUGAGUGGAAUUCCGAGUGUAGAGGUGAAAUUCGUAGAUAUUCGGAGGAACACCAGUGGCGAAGGCGGCUCACUGGUCCAUUACUGACGCUGAGGUGCGAAAGCGUGGGGAGCAAACAGG